rnacentral:rRNA from 1 species
UACGAAGGGGGCGAGCGUUGUUCGGAUUUACUGGGCGUAAAGGGCGCGUAGGCGGCGCGAGAAGUCGAGUGUGAAAGCCCCGGGCUCAACCUGGGAAUUGCGCUCGAUACUCUUGUGCUUGAGUUCGGGAGAGGAGCGUGGAAUUCCCAGUGUAGAGGUGAAAUUCGUAGAUAUUGGGAAGAACACCGGUGGCGAAGGCGGCGCUCUGGACCGAGACUGACGCUGAGGAGCGAAAGCAUGGGGAGCGAACAGG